rnacentral:rRNA from 1 species
CCUACGGGAGGCAGCAGUGAGGAAUAUUGGUCAAUGGCCGGAAGGCUGAACCAGCCAAGUCGCGUGAGGGAAUAAGGCCCUAUGGGUCGUAAACCUCUUUUGUCAGGGAGCAAAGGCGUCCACGUGUGGACGAGAGGAGAGUACCUGAAGAAAAAGCAUCGGCUAACUCCGUGCCAGCAGCCGCGGUAAUACGGAGGGGGCAAGCGUUAUCCGGAUUUACUGGGUGUAAAGGGGGCGCAGACGGCAAUGCAAGCCAGGAGUGAAAGCCCGGGGCCCAACCCCGGGACUGCUCUUGGAACUGCAUGGCUGGAGUACAGGAGGGGCAGGCGGAAUUCCUAGUGUAGCGGUGAAAUGCGUAGAUAUUAGGAGGAACACCGGUGGCGAAGGCGGCCUGCUGGACUGUGACUGACGUUGAGGCCCGAAGGCGUGGGGAGCAAACAGGAUUAGAUACCCUAGUAGUC